UGAGGCUUGUAGCUGCUGUGAGGAGGCCUAGGGUUUUUGGGGUCCGCCGAAAAUUAGGCACCGUCUAACGAGAGGCAAGACAAACUCUCUUUAACAGUCGGCAAAGAGGGCCUGGGAUCAAAGAGUGGGUCAGAGCCAGGUCAGACUUCCUCGUCGAAAGGAGAGCGAGUUCCAAGUCGAAGUCGGACAAGAUAAAAGGCUAUAAAUAGAUGGCAUUGGACGCCAUUGCGGGAUUCCAAGCCUGGUCGACAGCAUUGGAUUUUGUUCACCAAGUGUCCUCUAUAGUGGCAGCCGUAUUUGAAUAUUCAAAGAAAGAAAAAAGAGAAAAACCAUCUAAAUACAAUAACUAGUGAAAAGUAGCCCAGGCAGUGAGGCGGUGAUUAGUGAAACCUCUUCGAUACUCCCUUUCGACGGGUCACCCGUUUGGGUCUUAAAUUGGAGGAGGCUCGUCUUCCACGACCGCCAGCUGAAAUUCGUAGAAAUUCGCCGGAGCUUUGGGUCGUCGCCUUGGAGCAGUUCGGCGAGCCAGAGAGGAGAGGCCAACUAGUGCCCGGCAGACGGCAGCCGCGUCGGCUUGUUCAUCGCUCCGCGUAUGCGUCCAUACCCCGUGCGCAGGGGAGGAGGCAAAGAAAAAAAAAGUGUUCUGCAGUGGCGGCAAAUAGUGGCAGAUCGAGUUAGAAAAUUUCUCACAGAAGGCCAGCCCAGUUCAAAAUAAC